rnacentral:tRNA from 1 species
GGCGAGGUAGCAAAGUGGUUAUGCAGCGGCCUGCAAAGCCGCCCAGACGGUGUUCGACUCCCGUCCUCGCCUCCA